AUUGAACGCUGGCGGCAUGCUUUACACAUGCAAGUCGAACGGUAACAGGCCGCAAGGUGCUGACGAGUGGCGAACGGGCGAGUAAUGCAUCGGAACGUGCCCAGUCGUGGGGGAUAACUAUCCGAAAGGAUAGCUAAUACCGCAUACGAUCUGCGGAUGAAAGCGGGGGACCUUCGGGCCUCGCGCGAUUUGAGCGGCCGAUGUCAGAUUAGGUAGUUGGUGGGGUAAAGGCUCACCAAGCCAACGAUCUGUAGCUGGUCUGAGAGGACGACCAGCCACACUGGGACUGGGACACGGCCCAGACUCCUACGGGAGGCAGCAGUGGGGAAUUUUGGACAAGGGGCGCAAGCCUGAUCCAGCAAUGCCGCGUGCAGGAAGAAGGCCUUCGGGUUGUAAACUGCUUUUGUACGGAACGAAACGGCUCUGGUUAAUACCCGGGGCUAAUGACGGUACCGUAAGAAUAAGCACCGGCUAACUACGUGCCAGCCGCCGCCGUAAGAC
rnacentral:rRNA from 1 species